AGAGGCAGAAAUGCGUAUCCGAUGGACAGCAGGUUGAGAUUCCUGCACUAACUUAAAACAGAACUGUGGGGACAUUUGUGGAGAGCACAGGCGCGGAACGGAAAGCCGCGUGCAAGCGAAGGAGGAGUCACAUAGGAAAAACCGUGUGGCAAUCCAAAGGCGUGAUGCGGACCGAACUAAAGUAGGGAAGUGUGUGAGCCAUGAAUCAAGAAAAGCCGCUAUUGUUUUUAAGAUACCCGUACCGUAAACCGACACAGGUGGAUGAGGAGAGAAUCCUAAGGCCGGCGGAAGAAGCAUUGUUAAGGAACUCGGCAAAAUGACCCCGUAACUUCGGGAGAAGGGGUGCCAACGAGAGUUGGCCGCAGAGAAUAGGCUCAAGCAACUGUUUAGCAAAAACACAGGUCUAUGCAAAACCGUAAGGUGAGGUAUAUGGGCUGACGCCUGCCCGGUGCUGAAAGGUUAAGAGGAGAGGUUAGCGCAAGCGAAGCUUUGAAUUUAAGCCCCAGUAAACGGCGGCCGUAACAAUAACGGUCCUAAGGUAGCGAAAUUCCUUGUCGGGUAAGUUCCGACCCGCACGAAAGGCGUAAUGAUUUGAGCGCUGUUUCGACAAUGCAUCCGGUGAAAUUGAAGUACCAGUGAAGAUGCUGGUUACCCGCGCCAGGACGGAAAGACCCCAUGGAGCUUUACUCCAGUUUGGUACUGGGGUCCGGCAGUGCAUGUACAGGAUAGGUGGGAGGCUGAAACCUGGAACGCCAGUUUCAGGGGAGCCAUUGUUGGGAUACCACCCUUGUGCUGCUGGGCUUCUAACCAGCGGCCUUUAUCAGGCCGGGGGACAAUGCCAGACGGGGAGUUUGACUGGGGCGGUCGCCUCCGAAAGGGUAUCGGAGGCGCUCAAAGGUUCCCUCAGAAUGGUCGGAAACCAUUCGAAGAGUGCAAAGGCAGAAGGGAGCUUGACUGCGACACCGACGGGUGGAGCAGGUACGAAAGUAGGACUUAGUGAUCCGGUGGUAUUAAGUGGGAAUGCCAUCGCUCAACGGAUAAAAGCUACCCUGGGAUAACAGGCUUAUCACUCCCAAGAGUUCACAUCGACGGAGUGGUUUGGCACCUCGAUGUCGGCUCAUCGCAUCCUGGGGCUGUAGUAGGUCCCAAGGGUUGGGCUGUUCGCCCAUUAAAGCGGUACGCGAGCUGGGUUCGGAACGUCGUGAGACAGUUCGGUCCCUAUCCGGCGUGGGCGUAGGAUAUUUGAGAGGAGCUGUCCUUAGUACGAGAGGACCGGGAUGGACUGACCUCUGGUGUACCGGUUGAACCGCCAGGUUCACGGCCGGGUAGCCAAGUCGGGAAGGGAUAAACGCUGAAGGCAUCUAAGCGUGAAGCCCCCCUCAAGAUGAGAUAUCCCAUUCGAAAGAAGUAAGACCCCUUGAAGACGACGAGGUAGAUAGGGCAGAGGUGGAAGUGCCGUAAGGCAUGGAGCUGACUGUUACUAAUCGGUCGAGGGCUUGACC
rnacentral:rRNA from 1 species